GGAAUAUUGGUCAAUGGGCGAGAGCCUGAACCAGCCAAGUAGCGUGCAGGAAGACGGCCCUAUGGGUUGUAAACUGCUUUUAUCAGGGGAUAAAGUGACCCACGUGUGGGUUUUUGUAGGUACCUGAUGAAUAAGGACCGGCUAAUUCCGUGCCAGCAGCCGCGGUAAUACGGAAGGUCCGGGCGUUAUCCGGAUUUAUUGGGUUUAAAGGGAGCGCAGGCCGGCUUUUAAGCGUGACGUGAAAUGUAGACGCUCAACGGCUGAACUGAGUCGCGAACUGUCAGUCUUGAGUGAGUGCGAUGUUGGCGGAAUUCGUGGUGUAGCGGUGAAAUGCUUAGAUAUCACGAAGAACUCCGAUUGCGAAGGCAGCCAACAAGGCCUUUACUGACGCUAAAGCUCGAAGGUGCGGGUAUCGAACA
rnacentral:rRNA from 1 species